rnacentral:rRNA from 1 species
AUUGAACGCUGGCGGCAGGCCUAACACAUGCAAGUCGAACGAGUGGCGGACGGGUGAGUAAUGUCUGGGAAACUGCCAGAUGGAGGGGGAUAACUACUGGAAACGGUAGCUAAUACCGCAUACCAUCAGAUGUGCCCAGAUGGGAUUGGCUAGGAGGUGGGGUAACGGCUCACCAAGGCCACGAUCCCUAGCUGAUCUGAGAGGAUGACCAGCAACUCUGUAAAUGAGAAACUGGCCAGACGCCUACGGAAGGCAGCAGUGGGGAAUAUUGCACAAUGGGGGCAAGCCUGAUGCAGCCAUGCCGCGUGUAUGAAGAAGGCCUUUGGGUUGUAAAGUACUUUCAGCGGGGAGGCGUUACCCGCAGAAGAAGCACCGGAUAACUCCGGGCCAGCAGCCGCGGUAAUGC